rnacentral:tRNA from 1 species
AUGAAGUGCCUGAUUAAAGGGUUAUCUUGAUAGGAUAAAUAAUGUAACUAAUUACCUUCAUC